GGCUGUGGAUGGGGGAGGGCAAGCCAGGAAGAGGGGCAGGUAGGAUCUGCCUAAGCUCCCUCGUGGAGUGGGUACCCUAUAAGCCACUGUGUGGUGUGGACGCACGAGGGGCAUGAAGCAGGGGCAGUGAGUGAGUGUCCCUGAGUUUUCUAAGACAAAGCAGCAGCGGCAGAUGAUGGGACCUCCAUGGGGAAGGCCGCGAUGCCGAGGAAGGAGGGAGAGGUGAGCUCUCUGGCACCAGGACCCAAGGCCUUCUAGUCCACGUUAGGCCGCAGCCCCCACUGCACGUUAGCCUGCCCCUGGGCAGAAACACCCUGGGGUGCACAGUGUAUGGGGAGCUCAUGCU
rnacentral:lncRNA from 10 species